CCUACGGGUGGCAGCAGUGGGGAAUAUUGCACAAUGGGGGAAACCCUGAUGCAGCGACGCCGCGUGAGUGAAGAAGUAAUUCGUUAUGUAAAGCGCUAUCAGUAGGGAAGAAAAUGACGGUAUCCAUCGAAUAAGCAACGGCUAACUACGUGCCAGCAGCCGCGGUAAUACGUAGGUGGCAAGCGUUGUGCGGAUUUACUGGGUGGAAAGGGCGUGCAGCCGGGGAUGCAAGUCAGAUGUGAAAUCCACGGGCUCAACCCGUGAACUGCAUUUGAAACUGUUUCCCUUGAGUGUCGGAGAGGUAGUCGGAAGUCCUUGUGUAGCGGUAAAAUGCGUAGAUAUAAAGAAGAACACCAGUGGCGAAGGCGAAUUACUGGACGAUAACUGACGGUGAGGCGCGAAAGCGUGGGGAGCAAACAGGAUUAGAUACCCCAGUAGUC
rnacentral:rRNA from 1 species